GAAGAAGCAAGGAGGGAGAAAAAUGUUGGAGUGGUAUCCUUCCUGUGUCUGGUUAUAUGAAAGAAAUCUGGUCAGCUGAAUUAUGAAAUGUUAGUGUUGAUUUGAUUACUGUUCCUAAAACGAGAGUAAGAAAAAUGAAAGGAGGUCCAGGAAAGAGGGAAAAGAAAUGUAUAUACUCAUCUAGAAGUAGCAUGAAGAUGGCCAAGGAACAGAACAAUGUGCUAUCAACCUCCCUUUUGGAUUUUAGAAGGUGAGGAAAGAAGAGAAAAAGAGAGAAAAACAGAAGAUAGACUUUGGUAUCCUGGGUCCAAGAUGUUGCUUCUGUCUUCUGUUGAGCUGAAUCAACUAGAAAUCACCAUAUAUUUCAGGGAGAUUUUAAUAUUGUAGCCACAGCAGGGAAGGACCACAUCUCAAUGCAGAAUCAGGGAAAUUAGAAGACGCCUUCAGAGGUUAUUAAGUCCACAUUCCUUCAUCUGAGCAUGACCAUAAUUGAUUUAACCAUCACAAAUAAAAAUUUCUCCUGUUUAAAAAGCAAAAA